GCUGAGGUAGCUCAGUCGGUAGAGCAAAGGUCUGAAAAACCUUGUGUCGGCAGUUCGAUUCUGCCCCUCAGCA
rnacentral:tRNA from 1 species